AGUGAACGCUGGCGGUAGGCCUAACACAUGCAAGUCGAACGGCAGCACAGUAAGAUCUUGCUCUUACGGGUGGCGAGUGGCGGACGGGUGAGGAAUACAUCGGAAUCUACUUUUUCGUGGGGGAUAACGUAGGGAAACUUACGCUAAUACCGCAUACGCCCUACGGGUGAAAGCAGGGGAUCUUCGGACCUUGCGCGAUUGAAUGAGCCGAUGUCGGAUUAGCUAGUUGGCGGGGUAAAGGCCCACCAAGGCGACGAGCCGUAGCUGGUCUGAGAGGAUGAUCGGCCGCACUGGAACUGAGACACGGUCCAGACUCCUACGGGAGGCAGCAGUGGGGAAUAUUGGACAAUGGGCGCAAGCCUGAUCCAGCCAUACCGCGUGGGUGAAGAAGGCCUUCGGGUUGUAAAGCCCUUUUGUUGGGAAAGAAAAGCAGCAGGUUAAUACCCCGCUGUUCUGACGGUACCCAAAGAAUAAGCACCGGCUAACUUCGUG
rnacentral:rRNA from 1 species